rnacentral:rRNA from 1 species
AUUGAACGCUGGCGGCAGGCCUAACACAUGCAAGUCGAGCGGAUGAAGGGAGCUUGCUCCUGGAUUCAGCGGCGGACGGGUGAGUAAUGCCUAGGAAUCUGCCUGGUAGUGGGGGAUAACGUCCGGAAACGGGCGCUAAUACCGCAUACGUCCUGAGGGAGAAGGUGGGGGAUCUUCGGACCUCACGCUAUCAGAUGAGCCUAGGUCGGAUUAGCUAGUUGGUGGGGUAAAGGCCUACCAAGGCGACGAUCCGUAACUGGUCUGAGAGGAUGAUCAGUCACACUGGAACUGAGACACGGUCCAGACUCCUACGGGAGGCAGCUGUGGGGAAUAUUGGACAAUGGGCGAAAGCCUGAUCCAGCCAUGCCGCGUGUGUGAAGAAGGUCUUCGGAUUGUAAAGCACUUUAAGUUGGGAGGAAGGGCAGUAAGUUAAUACCUUGCUGUUUUGACGUUACCAACAGAAUAAGCACCGGCUAACUUCGUG